CUGGGUUCAAGAAGGAAGGAACCUCAUUGUUGACAGUUACCAGAUGAAUGUGCCCCUUCUGUACAGCUAAGAAAUGGAAUAGACAUUGGUAACCUUCCACAGGCCCACACAUGUGUUAUCAGCCAUACCUUAGGACAGAAGGAAUGAGUUUGCAGAAAGGAUGUGGCACUUGCCAGUAAUUCACACAUGCUGAUAGCUCUUCAGAACUCAUGAAGACAUAAGGUGCUUCAAAAGAGGAGACUUUCGGAACAUGAGCAGGGAAAUUGUCACUUGAUAGAUGACAAGCAUUGUGAGAAACAACAGUUUGCCUUUCUUCAUUCCCUUCCUGGUUAUCUUUCCUGUCACAUGAAGAAGAAAUGAAACACCAGAGAGAAUCAGGUUAUCAUCAUCUACACCAGCCACUGUCACUGGUUAAGUAUUAGUUUAAUAUUCCAUUCUUCAUAUAAGAUGGUACCUGACCCACCAUUCCCUGUACAUGCAUUUUGAAUUGUUUCCCACACAUGGCAUUGCAGGAGAAGUUUCUUGGUC
ensembl:lncRNA novel transcript